GGCUAGGAUAGCUCAGUCGGUAGAGCGUGAGACUCUUAAUCUGAGGGUUGUGAGUUCGAGCCCCAUGUUGGGCA